rnacentral:tRNA from 1 species
GGCAGGGUAGCUCAGGGGUAGAGCAAAGGACUCAUAAGCCUUGGGUCGGGGGUUCGAAUCCCCCCCCUGCUA